UGCUGCUGUUUCUCAGACUGCCGACUACGAUGCCAGCGCCACAUAGUAUCUCAACUCGAAAGGGAAACGAAUGGGAAUAUAUGGGAUUCUAUCGAAACAAAGAAAUGCAGCGAGAGAAGACCUCGAGAAUUCCAAUGCGAGUUUUGAAAGAGAAAAUAAAGAAAUGGAAGAGAAUAAAAGAGGAGAUUGAACAACGAAAAAGGAAAAAGAAAAAGGAAAAUGAAAAACAUAGGAGCAGUAAGCAUAGCAUGCAAUGUGCAUCGUGACUGCAUCCCGAAGGCUGGAUCGGUCUCGCGACCGGCUCUCUGACCUUGUCUGGGUGUUCACCUCAACGUUCCUCUUUCCCUCUUAUUCUCCCUCUCUUUCUUAACCCAGCAGACGAGUUCGGUGCGUCUUUUAUUCAACGUAUAUUCGUUGUUCUAUAUACGUAUGUGCAUCGUAUACAGGGUGGCCCAUUUAAAUGAGGG